AGCAGCCGCGGUAAUUCCAGCUCCAAUAGCGUAUAUUAAAGUUGUUGCAGUUAAAAAGCUCGUAGUUGAAUUUCGGGGUCAGUAGAUUGGUCAUGCCUCCGGUAUGCACUGGUCUUACUGGCUCCUCCUUCCUGAUGAACCGUAAUGCCAUUAAUUUGGUGUUGCGGGGAGACUGGACUGUUACUUUGAAAAAAUUGAGUGUUUAAAGCAGGCUAACGCUUGAAUACAUUAGCAUGGAAUAAUGAAAUAGGACGUUCGAUCUUAUUUUGUGGUUUCUAAGAUUGACGUAAUGAUUAAUAGGGAUAGUUGGGGCAUUAGUAUUCAAUUGUCAGAGGUGAAAUUCUUGGAUUUAUUGAAGACUAACUACUGCGAAAGCAAUUUGCCAAGGAUGUUUCAUUAAUCAAGAACGAAAGUUAGGGAUCGAAGACGAUCAGAUACCGUCGUAGUCUUAACCAUAAACUAUGCCGACU
rnacentral:rRNA from 1 species